rfam:Oryza sativa Indica Group cultivar 93-11 Ctg046201, whole genome shotgun sequence.
GGAUGCGAUCAUACCAGCACUAAAGCACCGGAUCCCAUCAGAACUCCGAAGUUAAGCGUGCUUGGGCGAGAGUAGUACGAGGAUGGAUGACCUCCUGGGAAGACCUCCUGGGAAGUCCACGUGUUGCAUCCC